rnacentral:rRNA from 1 species
AUUGAACGCUGGCGGCAGGCCUAACACAUGCAAGUCGAGCGGAUGAAGGGAGCUUGCUCCUGGAUUCAGCGGCGGACGGGUGAGUAAUGCCUAGGAAUCUGCCUGGCAGUGGUGGAUAACGUCCGGAAACGGGCGCUAAUACCGCAUACGUCCUGAGGGAGAAAGGGGGGGAUCUUCGGACCUUACGCUAUCAGAUGAGCCUAGGUCGGAUUAGCUAGUUGGUGGGGUAAAGGCCUACCAAGGCGACGAUCCGUAACUGGUCUGAGAGGAUGAUCAGUCACACUGGAACUGAGACACGGUCCAGACUCCUACGGGAGGCAGCAGUGGGGAAUAUUGGACAAUGGGCGAAAGCCUGAUCCAGCCAUGCCGCGUGUGUGAAGAAGGUCUUCGGAUUGUAAAGCACUUUAAGUUGGGAGGAAGGGCAGUAAGUUAAUACCUUGCUGUUUUGACGUUACCAACAGAAUAAGCACCGGCUAACUUCGUG